GGAAUAUAAGAAUCCGUCUCUUAAUUUCUAACUAAAAAAGCUAAGAACCGGCUCUUAAAUAAGAUAUUUAAAAACUGAUUCUUAUCUUUUUUUAGUUAAAAGUUAAGAGACAAGUUCUUAUAUUCA
rfam:Brassica napus, WGS project CCCW01000000 data, contig: 23855